UAAUUUUUACAUUAAAAAUAGUUAUUACAAUCAAUGAUAUGAGCAUUAUAUGGAUACAAGUAUGAAGUUGAAGUGCAAAGGCGUACAAAAUCUUGAGCAAAAUGAAAUAUAUUACUUUUAAAUUCAUUACUCUAAAUGAUCCCUUAGGGCCUCAACCAAUAUCCACAUAACACUAGUUAAAACAUAUUUCAUUUUGAUCUAAUAAAACUAUUCAAAAUAAAAAAUCCACCUUGUAUUAACUCACCUUUCCAUGUUAAGACUCCACCUUACCUGUCCACAAAUAAAAACUAGGUGAUCAACUAAAUCCUCCGGUCUUUUUACUGACCCUUAUUCCAAUCACAGAGGAGGCUUUACCUCUUCUCUGUGUCUGGUCAGGUCAGGUCAGGUCAGGUCUGGUCAGGUCAGGUCUGGUCUGGUCUGGUCAGGUCUGGUCAGUUCAGGACAUUAUGCUGGUCAGGUCUGGUCAGGUCAGACCAGGUUGUAUGCUGUUCAGGUCAGGUCUGGUCUGGUCAGGUCAGGUCUGGUCAGGUCAGGUCUGGUCUGGUCUGGUCAGGUCAGGUCAGGUCUGGUCUGGUCAGGUCAGGUCUGGUCAGUUCAGGACAUUAUGCUGGUCAGGUCUGGUCAGGUCAGACCAGGUUGUAUGCUGUUCAGGUCAGGUCUGGUCUGGUCUGGUCAGGUCUGGUCAGGUCUGGUCAGGACAUUAUGCUGGUCAGGUCAGGUCUGGUCAGACC